GCAGCUAGCUAGGCAGCCUUUUUGGAAAGGAUUUUGUGGGCUAGGCAAUUUGCUUCRGCUGAGAGUGUUGCAGGCUUUUUGGUGAGAAUCAUGAAGAUCUUUCACCUUGGGAAACCAAGUCACAGGAAGCACGUGGUGCAUCUGCAUUAGAAGACUACAGAGGCAUGCACCU